GAUGAACGCUGGCGGCGUGCCUAAUACAUGCAAGUCGAGCGAAGCGGGGACGGGUGCGUAAGACGUGGUAACACUCCUAUAACUAUGGGAUAACUUCGGGAAACCGGUGCUAAACCGGCUACUUAUAGGUGGCUCCUCGCUGCAUUAGCUAGUGGGUAAGGUAACGGCUUACCAAGGCAACGAUGCAUAGCCGACCUGAGAGGGUGAUCGGCCACACUGGAACUGAGACACGGCCCAGACUCCUACGGGAGGCAGCAGUAGGGAAUCUUCCGCAAUGGGCGAAAGCCUGACGGAGCAACGCCGCGUGAGUGAAGAAGGUUUUCGGAUCGUAAAACUCUGUUAUUAGAGAAGCGGUACCUAAUCAGAAAGCCACGGCUAACUACGUGCCAGCAGCCGCGGUAAUAC
rnacentral:rRNA from 1 species